rnacentral:rRNA from 1 species
UACGUAGGUGGCAAGCGUUAUCCGGAUUUAUUGGGCGUAAAGGGAACGCAGGCGGUCUUUUAAGUCUGAUGUGAAAGCCUUCGGCUUAACCGGAGUAGUGCAUUGGAAACUGGGAGACUUGAGUGCAGAAGAGGAGAGUGGAACUCCAUGUGUAGCGGUGAAAUGCGUAGAAAUAUGGAAGAACACCAGUGGCGAAAGCGGCUCUCUGGUCUGUAACUGACGCUGAGGUUCGAAAGCGUGGGUAGCAAACAGG